UGGGGAAUAUUGGACAAUGGGGGCAACCCUGAUCCAGCCAUGCCGCGUGUGUGAAGAAGGCCUUUUGGUUGUAAAGCACUUUAAGCAGGGAGGAGAGGCUAAAUGGUUAAUACCCAUUAGAUUAGACGUUACCUGCAGAAUAAGCACCGGCUAACUCUGUGCCAGCAGCCGCGGUAAUACAGAGGGUGCNAGCGUUAAUCGGAAUUACUGGGCGUAAAGCGAGUGUAGGUGGCUCAUUAAGUCACAUGUGAAAUCCCCGGGCUUAAACCUGGGAACUGCAUGUGAUACUGGUGGUGCUAGAAUAUGUGAGAGGGAAGUAGAAUUCCAGGUGUAGCGGUGAAAUGCGUAGAGAUCUGGAGGAAUACCGAUGGCGAAGGCAGCUUCCUGGCAUAAUAUUGACACUGNGAUUCGAAAGCNUGGUAGCAAACAGGAUUAGAUACCCUGGUAGUCCACGCCGUAAACGAUGUCUACUAGCCGUUGGGGUCCUUGAGACUUUAGUGGCGCAGUUAACGCGAUAAGUAGACCGCCU
rnacentral:rRNA from 1 species